GUGGGGAAUCUUGCGCAAUGGGCGAAAGCCUGACGCAGCCAUGCCGCGUGGAUGAUGAAGGUCUUAGGAUUGUAAAAUCCUUUCACCGGGGACGAUAAUGACGGUACCCGGAGAAGAAGCCCCGGCUAACUUCGUGCCAGCAGCCGCGGUAAUACGAAGGGGGCUAGCGUUGCUCGGAUUUACUGGGCGUAAAGGGCGCGUAGGCGGACAGCUAAGUUAGAGGUGAAAGCCCAGGGCUCAACCCUGGAAUAGCCUUUAAUACUGGCUAUCUUGAGUACGGGAGAGGUGUGUGGAACUCCGAGUGUAGAGGUGAAAUUCGUAGAUAUUCGGAAGAACACCAGUGGCGAAGGCGACACACUGGCCCGUUACUGACGCUGAGGCGCGAAAGCGUGGGGAGCAAACAGGAUUAGAAACCCCAGUAGUCC
rnacentral:rRNA from 1 species